AAGUCGGGAAAGUUUUUCGCUAAGGGAUCAGUCUAUGUUCCAUCAGCUUGUUGGUGAGGUAAUGGCUCACCAAGGCUAUGACGGAUAUCUGGUUUGAGAGGAUGAUCAGACACACUGGAACUGAGACACGGUCCAGACUCCUACGGGAGGCAGCAGUGAGGAAUAUUGCACAAUGGAGGAAACUCUGAUGCAGCAACGCCGCGUGGAGGAUGACGCAUUUCGGUGUGUAAACUCCUUUUAUUAGGGAAGAUAAUGACGGUACCUAAUGAAUAAGCACCGGCUAACUCCGUGCCAGCAGCCGCGGUAAUACGGAGGGUGCAAGCGUUACUCGGAAUCACUGGGCGUAAAGGGUGCGUAGGCUGGCUUUUAAGUCAGAUGUGAAAUCCAAUGGCUCAACCGUUGAACUGCUCUCGAAACUGGUUACCUAGAAUAUGGGAGAGGUAGAUGGAAUUAGUGGUGUAGGGGUAAAAUCCGUAGAUAUCACUAGGAAUACCGAUUGCGAAGGCGAU
rnacentral:rRNA from 1 species